rnacentral:rRNA from 1 species
ACUCCUACGGGAGGCAGCAGUGGGGAAUAUUGCACAAUGGGCGCAAGCCUGAUGCAGCAACGCCGCGUGAGGGACGACGGCCUUCGGGUUGUAAACCUCUUUUAGUAGGGAAGAAGCGAAAGUGACGGUACCUGCAGAAAAAGCACCGGCUAACUACGUGCCAGCAGCCGCGGUAAUACGUAGGGUGCAAGCGUUGUCCGGAAUUAUUGGGCGUAAAGAGCUCGUAGGCGGUUUGUCGCGUCUGCUGUGAAAACUGGAGGCUCAACCUCCAGCCUGCAGUGGGUACGGGCAGACUAGAGUGCGGUAGGGGAGAUUGGAAUUCCUGGUGUAGCGGUGGAAUGCGCAGAUAUCAGGAGGAACACCGAUGGCGAAGGCAGAUCUCUGGGCCGUAACUGACGCUGAGGAGCGAAAGCAUGGGGAGCGAACAGGAUGAGAUACCCUGGUAGUCCAUGCCGUAAACGUUGGGAACUAGAUGUAGGGGCCAUUCCACGGUUUCUGUGUCGCAGCUAACGCAUUAAGUUCCCCGCCUGGGGAGUACGGCCGCAAGGCUAAAACUCAAAGGAAUUGACGGGGGCCCGCACAAGCGGCGGAGCAUGCGGAUUAAUUCGAUGCAACGCGAAGAACCUUACCAAGGCUUGACAUAUAGAGGUAACGUGCAGAAAUGUACGCCCCGCAAGGUCUCUAUACAGGUGGUGCAUGGUUGUCGUCAGCUCGUGUCGUGAGAUGUUGGGUUAAGUCCCGCAACGAGCGCAACCCUCGUUCUAUGUUGCCAGCACGUUAUGGUGGGAACUCAUAGGAGACUGCCGGGGUCAACUCGGA